AUUGAACGCUGGCGGCAUGCUUUACACAUGCAAGUCGAACGGCAGCGGGGGCUUCGGCCCGCCGGCGAGUGGCGAACGGGUGAGUAAUGCAUCGGAACGUGCCCAGUCGUGGGGGAUAACACAUCGAAAGAUGUGCUAAUACCGCAUACGUCCUGAGGGAGAAAGCGGGGGAUCUUCGGACCUCGCGCGAUUGGAGCGGCCGAUGUCGGAUUAGCUAGUUGGUGAGGUAAAGGCUCACCAAGGCGACGAUCUGUAGCGGGUCUGAGAGGAUGAUCCGCCGCACUGGGACUGAGACACGGCCCAGACUCCUACGGGAGGCAGCAGUGGGGAAUUUUGGACAAUGGGCGCAAGCCUGAUCCAGCCAUGCCGCGUGAGUGAAGAAGGCCUC
rnacentral:rRNA from 1 species